GAUGAACGCUGGCGGCGUGCCUAAUACAUGCAAGUCGAGCGAACAGACGAGGAGCUUGCUCCUCUGACGUUAGCGGCGGACGGGUGAGUAACACGUGGAUAACCUACCUAUAAGACUGGGAUAACUUCGGGAAACCGGAGCUAAUACCGGAUAAUAUAUUGAACCGCAUGGUUCAAUAGUGAAAGACGGUUUUGCUGUCACUUAUGGAUGGAUCCGCGCCGCAUUAGCUAGUUGGUAAGGUAGCGGCUUACCAAGGCAACGAUGCGUAGCCGACCUGAGAGGGUGAUCGGCCACACUGGAACUGAGACACGGUCCAGACUCCUACGGGAGGCAGCAGUAGGGAAUCUUCCGCAAUGGGCGAAAGCCUGACGGAGCAACGCCGCGUGAGUGAUGAAGGUCUUCGGAUCGUAAAACUCUGUUAUUAGGGAAGAACAAAUGUGUAAGUAACUAUGCACGUCUUGACGGUACCUAAUCAGAAAGCCACGGCUAACUACGUG
rnacentral:rRNA from 1 species